GACGAACGCUGGCGGCGUGCUUAACACAUGCAAGUCGUACGGUAAGGCCCUUUCGGGGGUACACGAGUGGCGAACGGGUGAGUAACACGUGAGUAACCUGCCCACAACUUUGGGAUAACGCUAGGAAACUGGUGCUAAUACUGGAUAUGUGCUCCUGCUGCAUGGUGGGGGUUGGAAAGCUCCGGCGGUUGUGGAUGGACUCGCGGCCUAUCAGCUUGUUGGUGGGGUAGUGGCCUACCAAGGCGGCGACGGGUAGCCGGCCUGAGAGGGUGACCGGCCACAUUGGGACUGAGAUACGGCCCAGACUCCUACGUGAGGCAGCAGUGGGGAAUAUUGCACAAUGGGCGCAAGCCUGAUGCAGCAACGCCGCGUGCGGGAUGACGGCCUUCGGGUUGUAAACCGCUUUCAGCAGGGACGAAGCUUUUUGUGACGGUACCUGCAGAAGAAGCACCGGCUAACUACGUG
rnacentral:rRNA from 1 species